GUUGAACCUAACUCUAGCAUGAACUGAAAAGUAACGGUGACAGCCAAUUCAAAAGUAAACACACUACUAGCUAAACAAAUUGAGGCUGUGACACUGAGGUCAGUUGAAGUUAAUUAUUCUUAAUAUAAUAUAUAGCAAGUGUUAAAUGCUUAAACUGCCUAUUACUGUUGUUCUUUCAUUAACUACACACACUAUUAUCCUGUAUUAUGUAUAAGUCCUUUGUUUUUGACAAGAUUGGAAAAUCUUGAACUGACCUGAAUUUGAUUCAUUUUUUAGUCUGUUGGUUUAUUUUUCUGCUCUCUGCUUGUGGGUUUGGAUUGAAUUUGGGAUUG
rnacentral:misc_RNA from 1 species